GAUGAACGCUGGCGGCGUGCUUAACACAUGCAAGUCGAACGGAAAGGCCGAAGCUUGCUUCGGUACUCGAGUGGCGAACGGGUGAGUAACACGUGGGUGAUCUGCCCUGUACUUCGGGAUAAGCUUGGGAAACUGGGUCUAAUACCGGAUAUGACGAUCUCUUGGAUGGGGUUGUGGAAAGCUUUUGCGGUAUGGGGUGAGCUCGCGGCCUAUCAGCUUGUUGGUGGGGUAAUGGCCUACCAAGGCGUCGACGGGUAGCCGGCCUGAGAGGGUGUACGGCCACAUUGGGACUGAGAUACGGCCCAGACUCCUACGGGAGGCAGCAGUGGGGAAUAUUGCACAAUGGGCGCAAGCCUGAUGCAGCGACGCCGCGUGGGGGAUGACGGCCUUCGGGUUGUAAACUCCUUUCGCAAUCGACGAAGCCUUUUGGUGACGGUAGGUUGAGAAGAAGCACCGGCUAACUACGUG
rnacentral:rRNA from 1 species